rnacentral:rRNA from 1 species
GGUUAAGCGACUAAGCGUACACGGUGGAUGCCCUGGCAGUCAGAGGCGAUGAAGGACGUGCUAAUCUGCGAUAAGCGUCGGUAAGGUGAUAUGAACCGUUAUAACCGGCGAUUUCCGAAUGGGGAAACCCAGUGUGAUUCGUCACACUAUCAUUAACUGAAUCCAUAGGUUAAUGAGGCGAACCGGGGGAACUGAAACAUCUAAGUACCCCGAGGAAAAGAAAUCAACCGAGAUUCCCCCAGUAGCGGCGAGCGAACGGGGAGCAGCCCAGAGCCUGAAUCAGUGUGUGUGUUAGUGGAAGCGUCUGGAAAGGCGCGCGAUACAGGGUGACAGCCCCGUACACAAAAAUGCACAUGCUGUGAGCUCGAUGAGUAGGGCGGGACACGUGGUAUCCUGUCUGAAUAUGGGGGGACCAUCCUCCAAGGCUAAAUACUCCUGACUGACCGAUAGUGAACCAGUACCGUGAGGGAAAGGCGAAAAGAACCCCGGCGAGGGGAGUGAAAAAGAACCUGAAACCGUGUACGUACAAGCAGUGGGAGCACGCUUAGGCGUGUGACUGCGUACCUUUUGUAUAAUGGGUCAGCGACUUAUAUUCUGUAGCAAGGUUAACCGAAUAGGGGAGCCGAAGGGAAACCGAGUCUUAACUGGGCGUUAAGUUGCAGGGUAUAGACCCGAAACCCGGUGAUCUAGCCAUGGGCAGGUUGAAGGUUGGGUAACACUAACUGGAGGACCGAACCGACUAAUGUUGAAAAAUUAGCGGAUGACUUGUGGCUGGGGGUGAAAGGCCAAUCAAACCGGGAGAUAGCUGGUUCUCCCCGAAAGCUAUUUAGGUAGCGCCUCGUGAAUUCAUCUCCGGGGGUAGAGCACUGUUUCGGCAAGGGGGUCAUCCCGACUUACCAACCCGAUGCAAACUGCGAAUACCGGAGAAUGUUAUCACGGGAGACACACGGCGGGUGCUAACGUCCGUCGUGAAGAGGGAAACAACCCAGACCGCCAGCUAAGGUCCCAAAGUCAUGGUUAAGUGGGAAACGAUGUGGGAAGGCCCAGACAGCCAGGAUGUUGGCUUAGAAGCAGCCAUCAUUUAAAGAAAGCGUAAUAGCUCACUGGUCGAGUCGGCCUGCGCGGAAGAUGUAACGGGGCUAAACCAUGCACCGAAGCUGCGGCAGCGACGCUGAUGCGUUGUUGGGUAGGGGAGCGUUCUGUAAGCCUGUGAAGGUGUGCUGUGAGGCAUGCUGGAGGUAUCAGAAGUGCGAAUGCUGACAUAAGUAACGAUAAAGCGGGUGAAAAGCCCGCUCGCCGGAAGACCAAGGGUUCCUGUCCAACGUUAAUCGGGGCAGGGUGAGUCGACCCCUAAGGCGAGGCCGAAAGGCGUAGUCGAUGGGAAACAGGUUAAUAUUCCUGUACUUGGUGUUACUGCGAAGGGGGGACGGAGAAGGCUAUGUUGGCCGGGCGACGGUUGUCCCGGUUUAAGCGUGUAGGCUGGUUUUCCAGGCAAAUCCGGAAAAUCAAGGCUGAGGCGUGAUGACGAGGCACUACGGUGCUGAAGCAACAAAUGCCCUGCUUCCAGGAAAAGCCUCUAAGCAUCAGGUAACAUCAAAUCGUACCCCAAACCGACACAGGUGGUCAGGUAGAGAAUACCAAGGCGCUUGAGAGAACUCGGGUGAAGGAACUAGGCAAAAUGGUGCCGUAACUUCGGGAGAAGGCACGCUGAUAUGUAGGUGAAGCGACUUGCUCGUGGAGCUGAAAUCAGUCGAAGAUACCAGCUGGCUGCAACUGUUUAUUAAAAACACAGCACUGUGCAAACACGAAAGUGGACGUAUACGGUGUGACGCCUGCCCGGUGCCGGAAGGUUAAUUGAUGGGGUCAGCGCAAGCGAAGCUCUUGAUCGAAGCCCCGGUAAACGGCGGCCGUAACUAUAACGGUCCUAAGGUAGCGAAAUUCCUUGUCGGGUAAGUUCCGACCUGCACGAAUGGCGUAAUGAUGGCCAGGCUGUCUCCACCCGAGACUCAGUGAAAUUGAACUCGCUGUGAAGAUGCAGUGUACCCGCGGCAAGACGGAAAGACCCCGUGAACCUUUACUAUAGCUUGACACUGAACAUUGAGCCUUGAUGUGUAGGAUAGGUGGGAGGCUUAGAAGUGUGGACGCCAGUCUGCAUGGAGCCGACCUUGAAAUACCACCCUUUAAUGUUUGAUGUUCUAACGUUGACCCGUGAUCCGGGUUGCGGACAGUGUCUGGUGGGUAGUUUGACUGGGGCGGUCUCCUCCUAAAGAGUAACGGAGGAGCACGAAGGUUGGCUAAUCCUGGUCGGACAUCAGGAGGUUAGUGCAAUGGCAUAAGCCAGCUUGACUGCGAGCGUGACGGCGCGAGCAGGUGCGAAAGCAGGUCAUAGUGAUCCGGUGGUUCUGAAUGGAAGGGCCAUCGCUCAACGGAUAAAAGGUACUCCGGGGAUAACAGGCUGAUACCGCCCAAGAGUUCAUAUCGACGGCGGUGUUUGGCACCUCGAUGUCGGCUCAUCACAUCCUGGGGCUGAAGUAGGUCCCAAGGGUAUGGCUGUUCGCCAUUUAAAGUGGUACGCGAGCUGGGUUUAGAACGUCGUGAGACAGUUCGGUCCCUAUCUGCCGUGGGCGCUGGAGAACUGAGGGGGGCUGCUCCUAGUACGAGAGGACCGGAGUGGACGCAUCACUGGUGUUCGGGUUGUCAUGCCAAUGGCACUGCCCGGUAGCUAAAUGCGGAAGAGAUAAGUGCUGAAAGCAUCUAAGCACGAAACUUGCCCCGAGAUGAGUUCUCCCUGACCCUUUAAGGGUCCUGAAGGAACGUUGAAGACGACGACGUUGAUAGGCCGGGUGUGUAAGCGCAGCGAUGCGUUGAGCUAACCGGUACUAAUGAACCGUGAGGCUUAACCUU